UUUAUACAACCAAGCAGCAGCACAAGCAAGUUCUCAAGGAACUAUUAGCAACUAAUGUACCUGAAAUCAAUCAAAUAUAAUCAGUAUACCAAUCACAAAGUCAAACAAACAGCAUAAGAACCAACAAACAAUGUACAAUCAAUCAUCUGUGCAAAGCACAAGCCCAAAGCAAGUGAGCUAAGCAUCCUACAAAACAAACAAGUUAGUUCACAACAAGCAAACAAACUCAAUCAACUUGCAUUAAUCUCCUUAAAGCAUUUGCCUCUUAAC
rnacentral:lncRNA from 1 species